GUCUCACUUCAGCAGCACAUAUACUAAAAUUGGAAUGAUAUAGAUAAGAUUAGCAUGGCCCGUGUGCAAGGAUGACAUGCUUGUGAAGCGUUCUAUAUUUUU
ensembl:snRNA U6 U6 spliceosomal RNA